rnacentral:misc_RNA from 1 species
AGCAUGUAUUUUUAUUAUAGUGCUGUUGUAGUCUUCAGAUUCAGAGUUUCGUUCCCUUCUUGGAUGGGAUUUGUUAUUCUGUUUCUUUGUUUUGUAUGUAAGUACAUAUUGUGUCAAGGAUUUCCUUGCUUAAAUGGCAUCUCAAAGUAACUGUUUUAGUUCAUCUUGGGCAUCGAUAUUCUUGUGGGCUACAUGAGAUUUAGUGACCUGAGCUCUGUCAUCCCUCUCCUGAUUUUCUACCGGCAUAUGCACAGAUUCUAGCUUUCUUUCAAUUUUAGCUUGCUUGGCUUUCUUCUCGUGAAGGAGACAUCUUUCCUGAGAAAGCUUUGCUUUUUUGAUAGAGUUCUUUGACGGUCUUAUCAUGUACACCAAGUUUCUCCCGGUGU